rnacentral:rRNA from 1 species
GACGAACGCUAGCGGCAGGCUUAAUACAUGCAAGUCGUGGGGCAGCAGGUUUGUAGCAAUACAGAUGCUGGCGACCGGCAAACGGGUGCGGAACACGUACAGAACCUUCCUUUGAGCGGGGAAUAGCCCAGAGAAAUUUGGAUUAAUACCCCAUAGUAUAAUGAAGUGGCAUCACUUUAUUAUUAAAGAUUUAUCACUCGAAGAUGGCUGUGCGGCUGAUUAGGUAGUUGGCGGGUAAAGGCCCACCAAGCCUGCGAUCAGUAACUGGUGUGAGAGCACGACCAGUCACACGGGCACUGAGACACGGGCCCGACUCCUACGGGAGGCAGCAGUAAGGAAUAUUGGGUCAAUGGAGGCAACUCUGAACCAGCCAUGCCGCGUGGAGGAUGAAGGUCCUCUGGAUUGUAAACUUCUUUAUAUGGCGAAAAAAGGCUUUCUAAGUACGUCUGACGGUACCAUAUGAAUAAGCACCGGCUAACUCCGUGCCAGCAGCCGCGGUAA